AUGUUUAUGACCGUGUCUAGAACCGGUUUCCAAAAACCUUCCAUGCGCAGAUUUCCUCCAAUCGACAACCCCAAGUAUUUGAAAGUGCAAUGUAGACGCUGCUUCCUCCAACCAAGAAUGGGAUAUAUUGAUGCCUACUAUAAGGCUCUUGUGAAAUUCUAUAUUUACUUUUUGCUCUUAUUUUUUCCUUUUCUUUAUUCCCUGAAAGUUUCAUUUUCCAUCUCUAUUUUUUUCCUCUUCAUUUUCAUUUUAUUCCCAGUCUCUAUUCCUUUUCUUUUCCCAGUUUAUAUAUCUUUUUAU